CCUACGGGAGGCAGCAGUGGGGGAUAUUGCACAAUGGGGGAAACCCUGAUGCAGCGACGCCGCGUGAGUGAAGAAGUAUUUCGGUAUGUAAAGCUCUAUCAGCAGGGAAGAAAAUGACAGUACCUGACCAAGAAGCCCCGGCUAACUACGUGCCAGCAGCCGCGGUAAUACGUAGGGGGCAAGCGUUCUCCGGAUUUACUGGGUGUAAAGGGAGCGUAGACGGUUAUGUAAGUCUGGAGUGAAAGCCCGGGGACCAACCCCGGGACUGCUUUGGAAACUGUGUAACUGGAGUACAGGAGGGGCAGGCGGAAUUGCUGGUGUAGCGGGGAAAGGCGUAGAUAGCAGGAGGAACACCGGCGGCGAAGGCGGCCUGCUGGACUGAAACUGACGUUGAGGCUCGAAGGCGUGGGGAGCAAACAGGAUUAGAUACCCCAGUAGUC
rnacentral:rRNA from 1 species